AUUGAACGCUGGCGGCAUGCCUUACACAUGCAAGUCGAACGGUAACAGGUCUUCGGAUGCCGACGAGUGGCGAACGGGUGAGUAAUAUAUCGGAACGUGCCCAGUAGUGGGGGAUAGCUGCUCGAAAGAGCAGCUAAUACCGCAUACGACCUGAGGGUGAAAGGGGGGGAUCGCAAGACCUCUCGCUAUUGGAGCGGCCGAUAUCAGAUUAGCUAGUUGGUGGGGUAAAGGCCUACCAAGGCAACGAUCUGUAGUUGGUCUGAGAGGACGACCAGCCACACUGGGACUGAGACACGGCCCAGACUCCCACGGGAGGCAGCAGUGGGGAAUUUUGGACAAUGGGCGCAAGCCUGAUCCAGCAAUGCCGCGUGCAGGAAGAAGGCCUUCGGGUUGUAAACUGCUUUUGUCAGGGAAGAAAUCUUCUGGGCUAAUACCCCGGGAGGAUGACGGUACCUGAAGAAUAAGCACUGGCUAACUACGUGCCAGCCGCCGCCGUAA
rnacentral:rRNA from 1 species